UUUUUUUCGUGAAUUUUGAUAGGUUAAAGAGCAAAAGCGCUGGCACGAGCAAGAAGGCUGCAAAGGAUCCCAAUAAUCCUAAGAAGCCUACAAGUGCCUUCAUCGUUUUCAUUGAUUUUUGAAGAUAGAGUGCUCUCUAGUUGAGAAAGAUUUCGGUAUUGCUUUGCACCAUCUUCAGUGACGCCAGGCACCAUCAAGCUGUCCGAACGGGAGCUAGCUGACGUGGAGAAUGUGUUGAGGGUGCCUAAAGAGGAUAGACACUUGGGUAAGCUACGACCCUUAUUUCGAUAGUAUGGUUUCCAGCCCUUAGUUUCUGAGUGUUAGAAACGAGCGAUGGAGAAGCUGAGCAAGAAAUGGGAGAUUAGCAUUAAGAAAAGGAAAACACCAAUGUUAGUUCCCUCAGAAGACAUUUUAUUUCACAAGGAAGCUCGCAAGCACCGAGUGAGACCAGCCAUUAGACCUGAGUCUCACAAGGAGGUCCUCAAGAUUGCUGCCUCGAGGAAAACUGAAGCUGGGGCCAUCGGAUGUGCUGCUGCCAUAGUUACAAGGGAGGAAAGGCGAUUGUUGCCUCCUCUUCCAACUAUUAAUCCUAUCUUUCUUCCAAUUAUGAAGCACACUAGCUAGGAAGGUGAUCCUAAUUCCAGUCGCAAGAGUAAAGAUAAAGAAGAGGCUGGCAGUGUUCCUUUGAAGGACUUGAAGGUUGUCAUGCAGCCAAAGAGCUUUAGGUAUGUCAAUAAUUGCCUGGCAGGGUGUCGAUUCACUUUUAAUGAGCUCGGAGAGCCACUAGCUAAGAAUGAAUCAGAUUACGAUCGAAUAUUGAAGCUAUCUUAUUAUGUUAUGACUGAGUACGACGACAGGCUGCGAAAGGCUGAAAGUUAUAAGGCGAAAUUGAAAGAGAAUAAACAACUUGUGGAUGAUGUUAGGAAGAAUAAAAAACUUUUGACUGAGGCCGUCCAGCUUAAGGACUAAACCAUG